rnacentral:lncRNA from 1 species
GCUGUAGACCGGAGCUGUUCCUAUUCGGCCAUCUUGGCUCCUCCCAAGGUUAUAGAUUUUCCCUUGGUAGAAAGUAACACUUCAGAGUUCUGGUACAUAGAACUACCGAAACAAGUUGUAUAUGGAUGUGUGACCUAAGGAAGGCAUCUUUCCAAAAAUAGUUGCUGAUAUAUUGGCAAUAUAUUGAGCCCUAUUCUUCCAUAUAAGCCUUACAAUUACAGAAGAGACUUUGGGGAGUGGGGGAAGGAAUGGAGAAGACUUUUGAAAAGAGUGUCCAAUGAGACAAUGGAGCAUGUGACAGGAGUUUGGAGCCUGGCCUUACCUGCAAUUCCUCCUCCCACUGCCUCUCUGCCUGCCCAGGACGAGUUCUUGGAACUCAAGGUUGCCCAGCAACAUCUGUUGUCUACACUCCAGGAGAAAGGGUUGAAGAUCCUGUGAGUCUUGGGCUGGGGCUUGUUGACUGCUAUUCCUGCCCUGAGCUGGCAGUCACCACAACGAAUUUGUCAGGUGCCUCUGUAAGAGUGAUCCUCUCAUCCAGCCAUCUCCCCCAAUCCAGGAGUGAGUACUGGUGUGGGAAAGAGAUAUGUCUUGCUUUAUUUCUUCCCUCUCCCUGGAAGGACAUGGCAUUUUGGCCCAGUGGCUGGCAAAUGGGAGAACCUAGCAGCAAAUAGGCACACACGAAGGCAUGGGGCAUGAACUCACCUCAUGAAUAUCCCUAUGCCUGAAGGAUUGGAACAUUAGAUAGCAAAUUUUUAAAAGCUAUGACAGGUCAAGAGAGAUGAAUCAUAAAAGGAAGAAAAAAAGCUUUAAUGAUACUUGUGCCCAGUUUUUGAACAAGGAGCUCAGCAUUUUAAAUUUGCACUGGGUCUCACAAAUUAUGCAGCCAGUCCUGCUAUUGAGGUAG